GGUUCACUGAGUGUCAAGCUUCUCUUCUGAAAACAUGGCAAGUUUUAUACAUAUCAGUGUGUCACCGUGAGGACAGAGAGGUUACUGGGUGUCAGAAGCCUGCAGAUGCUCCAGCACAAGAACUGGCCUGAGCCACAAGAAGAGUCGGAUGGCUCCAUGUUGAAGUCAAGAGGCAAUGCCAGAGCCACUCAUCGCUAUUUUGGCCACGAUUCCUUCCUAGACAGAUUCACAAGUGCUAUACUGUAGUGGAAAACUCUUCCUGAUCAAGGUUUGCUUCAUGCCCUAGACAAAUGUACUAUGUGAGUGGCAGGCAGGGAUGACUUAACAGACGGUCAGAAUGUGGGUAAUUUCCCAAGUCACGAAGCCUGGGCACUGAGCUGAGUCUGCCUAUCUUUCACAGCUAUUUCCUUGGGUUCCAUGGUAGAAUGCUGCCAGCCUACAGCUGAUGGGAUCCACUUCUGGGCGCAGAGCUGUUCCUGCUGCACAUUUCACCCAAGAGGAUUCUAGGGCAGCCUCAUAUUUAUAUUUACCUAGUACUUCCCAGGUGCUACUUCUAUUUAUGUACCCAGGUGAGGGAAGUGUUACCAGUACAGUGCCUAUUUUGGGGUUAAAGAGACAAGUUAGUUCAGUGUGGGUAGGAACUCACUCAUUCACAUAGCAGUGUGGACCAGUGCUGGAUGCCCUACCUGGAGAGCCCUACCUGAAGUGAGUCUUCCAUCACCCUUAUUUUUAGCUAUGUGGUCUUGAGCUAUUCUCUAAACUUCCUUGUCUUGUCUCCCCAUCAAUCAAAUGUUUCUUAGAGUUCCUACAUCACAAGGUAUUGUGGAAUGUAGAUGUUGCUUCUGUUGACAUGCAUGCUCAGGAACCCUAUAAAUGUCAGCCAGGUGGGGCUGAGCAGUCAAUGGGAGCAGAGCCACUGCCUGAGUAGAACAAAAUUAUUUUCUUAUUAUUAAGUUGCAUGUACCUUGACGCCAUUUGCUUUUUCUACCUGAUGGAGUAUGGGAUCUUCUGCAGCACCGCCCUAGAUGGAGACUUGAACUCAAGCAGACCAGAAGAGGCUGCUUCAAAGAGCAUAGCAAAUGAGUGCUGGGCCUCUGCCCCUCCUCUACCUGGGACAUUGCAAGCUGACCUCCUAUGAGAAGGAAUUCUCUGACAGCUGCUGAGAGAAAUUACCUCCAUCUUCCUGCCAUGCCAGUACUGCCUGGCCUCCUUUGCCUUACUCUGAAAGCGAGUCACAUCCCAGGGCCCAGAAGUGGAGGUGGGGAAAGAACUAUGUGGCAGGGCAUGGAACUCUAGGCCUGUCACUGUACCUGGGGAGCUGGGAAGACACUGUUUAAGAUGGAAGUUAGGCCUUUGUUCUUAAACCAGUACUUCCUUGAAGGAAUGGUCUCACCAUCUUGGGCAAAUCACUUUACCAACUGUGAUAAUAAUUGCUAACAUUUAUCCAGCACUCUUUAUAUACCCAGUACUGUAAAAUGUGCUUUGCAUAUAUAAUUGCAUUUUAAUCCUCACAACAAUGACUAAGAGAUUUAAAUAAAUUUUGGGGAGGCAGAAAGCAGAGGGAUGUAAGCUGACCUAUAAAAACAGGAAGAUGCUACAGCCCAGAUCCUGGCAGGAGACAGCAGUGAGAUUCCGCCCCCUGGAAUCCCAGGAAGCCCAGGAAUGGGGAGCCCUGGGGCUCAGAGCCAGGUGGAACAGGAGGCCUUUGCUGGGACAACCCUGCCGUGCAGCAGUCCUCCAUCCACCCCCACCAUGGGAUUCUGAUGCAUACACAUUCUGAGGCUUUCCGCAAAAGCCAUGAGACCUACCCUUCCAGAAAGCCAGAAAGACACCCUUUCCUCUUCCACUUGGAGCCCAAAUUCAUUACUCUGCAGAGAAUAGGGCAAUAAAUGGCCCCAUCUCUUUACAACAUCAUGAAACCUGAAGUUAGUAGUGUUAUGCAGUAGAGAGACUGAGCCCAAAACAAGACCUACCAUGCCAUAACAGAGCAAGCACAGACAGUGUCUUAAUCUUCAUAUUUUUAUGUGAUUAGACAAGCAGGGACCCCAGGACAUUUGGGGGACACAAGUGCAUAAAAGAUAAAGACAAGUGCCUUGAGAAAACCUAAGGCCAGAGGAAACGGCAAAGUGAGUAAAAAGUCCUCUAAAAAUACUCCAAUUAACAUGCUCAGAGACAGCUGGGAGGAUAUUACAGCCAUAAAGUAAGAACCAGCAUGCACAGAGAAGGGACAGGCAGACACUGAAAUAAGCACUUGGUUUGUAAAGGAUAGCUCUACUCUUAUAGCAAUACAGGAAGAUGGAAAAGAGGGUUUAAUAAAUCUAAGGACACAGCAAAAUGACAGAGAUGGGAAUUUUAAGCAAAUAGAUUAGAGAUAUAGAGACAGUUUCCAGGAGGCCAAUAUCCAGGAAGGAAAGCAGGGGAGAAGGAUGGGAGGAAAUGAUCAUGUAAAUAAUGCAAGAGCUUUUCUGAGGCUGAAGAAAAACACAAACCUUAAAACUGAAAAGGCUUAUAGAAGUGCCAAGCAAAAGGGAUAACAAAAGACUCACAGCAAGGCAGAUUACCAUAAAGUUGCAUAACACCUAAAAUUGAAAACAACAACAGUUCCAAGAGAGGGGAAAAAAAGUCAUCUGCAAAGAAACAAUGAACAAACUAACAUCUCCCCUCUUUUUGGCAACUGCUGGGCAAGCUAUUCCUGGGCCCUGCCUUCUGACUGGUCCUAUGCACAGUGGGAAUCAUGAUCACAUGCAAUAAAAGCAUCUUUAUGCAAACUAAA